rnacentral:rRNA from 1 species
AUUGAACGCUGGCGGCAUGCCUUACACAUGCAAGUCGAACGGCAGCAUGAUCUAGCUUGCUAGAUUGAUGGCGAGUGGCGAACGGGUGAGUAAUACAUCGGAACGUGCCCUGUAGUGGGGGAUAACUAGUCGAAAGAUUAGCUAAUACCGCAUACGACCUGAGGGUGAAAGUGGGGGACCGCAAGGCCUCAUGCUAUAGGAGCGGCCGAUGUCUGAUUAGCUAGUUGGUGAGGUAAAGGCUCACCAAGGCGACGAUCAGUAGCUGGUCUGAGAGUACGAUCAGCCACACUGGGACUGAGACACGGCCCAGACUCCUACGGGAGGCAGCAGUGGGGAAUUUUGGACAAUGGGCGAAAGCCUGAUCCAGCAAUGCCGCGUGUGUGAAGAAGGCCUUCGGGUUGUAAAGCACUUUUGUCCGGAAAGAAAUGGCUCUGGUUAAUACCUGGGGUCGAUGACGGUACCGGAAGAAUAAGGACCGGCUAACUACGUG